GGCUUUGUAGUGUAGUGGCUAUCACCCGGGAUUCUGAUUCCCGUGACCCAGGUUCGAUCCCUGGCAGGGCCU
rfam:Cylindrobasidium torrendii FP15055 ss-10 unplaced genomic scaffold CYLTOscaffold_317, whole genome shotgun sequence.